rnacentral:rRNA from 1 species
CCUACGAGGGUCAGCAGUGAGGAAUAUUGGUCAAUGGGCGGGAGCCUGAACCAGCCAAGUCGCGUGCGGGAAGCCGGUCCUACGGAUUGUAAACCUCUUUUGCCGGGGAGCAACGGGGUCCUUGCGAGGGCCCACUGCGCGUACCCGGAGAAAAAGCAUCGGCAAACUCCGUGCCAGCAGCCGCGGUAAUACGGAGGAUGCGAGCGUUAUCCGGAGUUAUUGGGUUUAAAGGGUGCGUCGGUGGGCUGUUAAGUCAGCGGUCAAAUGUCGGGGCUCAACCCCGGCCUGCCGUUGAAACUGGCGGCCUCGAGUGGGCGAGAAGUAUGCGGAAUGCGUGGUGGAGCGGUGAAAUGCAUAGAUAUCACGCAGAACUCCGAUUGCGAAGGCAGCAUACCGGCGCCCUACUGACGCUGAGGCACGAAAGCGUGGGUAUCGAACAGGAUUAGAUACCCCUGUAGUC